CUUCCCUCUCGGCAAAAAGACCAAGCGGGAAAGUCAUGUCGGCAGCACAUUUUGCCGAGGUUGUCCUGAGCGAUGGAGAUGUGGCAAUACUGACCCUCUCCUUGGUGUGUCACCACUUCAAAGAAGUGGUGUCAACAGAGCACUUCAGAAGAAAAGCUCAUUUCAUGUGGCUUAACAGUGUUGCAACUUGGAGCAAGUUCACUGAAAGGUACCGAGCAGAGUUUCGCAACAUGUAUUCCCUGGAAACGUGCAGAGAGUGCAACGAGACC